rnacentral:rRNA from 1 species
AGAUUGAACGCUGGCGGCAUGCUUUACACAUGCAAGUCGAACGGCAGCGCGGGGCAACCUGGCGGCGAGUGGCGAACGGGUGAGUAAUAUAUCGGAACGUACCCAAGAGUGGGGGAUAACGUAGCGAAAGUUACGCUAAUACCGCAUACGAUCUAAGGAUGAAAGCAGGGGACCGCAAGGCCUUGGUGCUCCUGGAGCGGCCGAUAUCUGAUUAGCUAGGUUGGAGGUAAGCCUACAAGGCUACGAUCAGUAGCUGGUCUGAGAGGACGACCAGCCACACGUAGGAACUGGAGACCACGGUCCAGACCGUCCGUACGGGAGCAGCGAGGUGGGUAAUUUGGACAAGUGGGCGCAAGGCCUAGACU